rnacentral:tmRNA from 2 species
GGGGCUGCAAUGGUUUCGACGGAGGUUGUGAACCUUGGUAAGCGAGUAGCGGCGCGGAAACGCUUGAAACUCCGCAAACUUUAAAAUUAAACGACAACAAUACUGUUGCGUACGCAGCCUAAUUAGGCUGCCGUCUUUACCGGGAGCACCGCGGCCCGGAUAAAGGCGUCGAUGAGCGGUGAACGUGAACAGGGGAACGCCUUUACCCUUGUCAUGACCAAAAGGCUACUGAAGUAGGAAGCCUGCCUUUGGGCGUCCUACAGAGGGAAUGUAAAAACACCGGCUACACUCGUAGAAAGCCAGGGCAAGUGAUUUUCGGACAGGAGUUCGAUUCUCCUCAGCUCCACCA